rnacentral:rRNA from 1 species
GACGGUGAUGAUAGCUCAGGGGUCCCACCCGUUCCCAUUCCGAACACGGAAGUUAAGCCCUGACACGCCGAUGGUACUGCAGCGGUCACGCUGUGGGAGAGUAGGUAAUCGCCGUCC